rnacentral:rRNA from 1 species
UACGGGAGGCAGCAGUGGGGAAUAUUGCACAAUGGGCGCAAGCCUGAUGCAGCCAUGCCGCGUGUAUGAAGAAGGCCUUCGGGUUGUAAAGUACUUUCAGCAGUUGAGGAAGGUGGGUAUGUUAAUAGCAUAUUCAUUUGACGUUAGCUGCAGAAGAAGCACCGGCUAACUCCGUGCCAGCAGCCGCGGUAAUACGGAGGGUGCGAGCGUUAAUCGGAAUUACUGGGCGUAAAGCGCAUGCAGGUGGUUUGUUAAGUCAGAUGUGAAAGCCCGGGGCUCAACCUCGGAAUUGCAUUUGAAACUGGCAAACUAGAGUACUGUAGAGGGGGUAGAAUUUCAGGUGUAGCGGUGAAAUGCGUAGAGAUCUGAAGGAAUACCGGUGGCGAAGGCGGCCCCCUGGACAGAUACUGACACUCAGAUGCGAAAGCGUGGGGAGCAAACAGGAUUAGAUACCCUGGUAG